GAGGUCGGGAGAGGGAUGCGGAAUUCCAGGUGUAGCGGUGAAAUGCGUAGAUAUCUGGAGGAACACCGGUGGCGAAGGCGGCAUCCUGGACCAACACUGACGCUGAGGAGCGAAAGCCAGGGGAGCAAACGGGAUUAGAUACCCCGGUAGUCCUGGCCCUAAACGAUGAAUGCUUGGUGUGGCGGGUAUCGAUCCCUGCCGUGCCGAAGCUAACGCAUUAAGCAUUCCGCCUGGGGAGUACGGUCGCAAGGCUGAAACUCAAAUGAAUUGACGG
rnacentral:rRNA from 1 species